CAAAUUAUUUAAAAUUUAUAAGAUUAAAUUUAACAACUUUAGUUUGCUUUUUUUAUUAAAUUAUAAUCAAUUAUCUAGCCAUAAUUAAGUAAAGUAACUUUACCUUUGGAUUCAAAGAUGCAAGCUCCCUUAUACAUCCAACAAUAGUUUUAGGGUCGAACUCAAUUGCUGUGAAUGCUGAAUUCGUUCAUGAAAUAUUUAUCAAUAAAUUAAAAAAAUAAAGAGUGAAAAACAGGAAAAAUCUUUUUAAUUGUGCUCCAUCCCAUCUUUCCAAACUGUGACCUACAGUGCCUUUAAAUUAAUUGAUAUAGGAAGUUUAUAAGUUAUAUAUAUACUGCAGUGAUCUAAAAAUAGCAAAUUUGGACUAAAAAUCUUGUUAGUGUAUUGAAUCAGAUAGCCUAUCCACGUCUGCUUUAAAAAUCCACCAAUAACAUCAUCUGUUUUUGCCACGUCAGCCACCCUUUCAUGUCGAUUCCAUUUGUCUUCCUCUUCGUCGAUUCUCUUUCUCCCUAACGAUCGUUGAUCGAUCAAACAUCUCCAACUCUUCUGCAAUCAAACCUUCGCCCUUUCUUCUUUCUUCAAACCCGAAGAAACCAAAAGGCGUUGAAGCUGACUCCUCUCCCGGGCCGAUCAAGCCCAACUGCACACCCUAUGUCUCUGCCGGCCUCUCGAUCGGUGAUCCCCACUCAAAGAAAGCCAAAAGCAGAGAGUCGAUCACCUCUUCCAGAGUCUGACCAAACCCUUUCGUUAUCAGCUUUGUGUUUUAAGAUUGGGUGAUCAAGACUACUUCAACUUUAGUUGUCCCCCUUUGAAAAUGUCUUCCUCCAGUGCAAUUUGGUCGCCUCUUCUCAGGUGAUUGUCGGCCAGCUCCUUUGUUUCUGGCAUUCACAAAACAUCAAGAAGAAUAGAGAAUUUGUGGGUACCUUGAUGCUACUUAAUGAACAGGUAUCAAGGUCCAUGUUUAUUGGAUGCAGUUGACUCUACCAAGUCUCCUGAUAGAGACGUCUCAAAGCCUCUGCUCAUACCUAUAUGUGACAUUGUAAGAUCAACUUCACAAGGGCAUGUAUCAGCAUGUGACAAACCUGUUGCUGGAGCUGUUCUGUGAGGAUCCAAUCGUACAGAACUACUACUUCCUGUACACGUUAUAUUUGGUUGUUAUGGAAUGUUUCUAAGUUCUAUUUGUUGUCAUUAGCUAUAAAUUGAAAAAUAAUUCUGAUGGAUUUUCUUUUAGUAUAUUGUUUAAGGAUACAUACGAGACUGCGUCAACUGAUGGCUUACUUUACUGAAACAUUUUGACGGGUAAUGAUAUGCCAUAAGGAGAUCAAGGAACCGUGUCUCUAGAGCGUGGCUUUCAGGGUUGAACCAUUAUGAGAGCUGGAGAUAACAUAGCAAUAGCGUUGCAAGAGACUGAUGCAAAUCAAGUAAUGACAGGAGGUUGUAGUGCCAUCCUGAUUACCCGGUUUCAAUAGCAAAUUUGGACUAAAAAUCAGGGAUUCAAGAAGUAAAGAGUUUCAAGAAGAGAGUAAAAAAGACCAUAAUGGUGGAAGAAGACACUAUUAUAUGGAGUUUUUUUCUUUGUGCUCGCACGAAAAAAGAGGCGGUUGGGCAGAGGGUUUAGAUGAAGGAAUGGAAAAUGGAGAAGGAAAUAAGGUGCAGUUCGACGGAAAUGAAGUUCACGAGUUUGUUUUUUGCGGUGAAAGACACUAUGAAUCCUCAGAGAUUUACAGUUUACCGGGUGUGUUAAACUGGGAAACCUAUGCUCUAAAAUCAGAAGGUACUGCUCCGUUUAGUGACCAUCUUGGUCAGUUAAACUACACCAUUUGAUCUGAUGCCAUCAUUGCCAUCGCAUAAGAACAUAAACAACAAAUUCAAUGUCAAAUGUAUUAUCAGAAUUUUAUUCUGGUCGACGAAAACGAUUGCUGUUACUUCCAAGCAACAAAAAAUCACGUUGUACAAGCUCAAGUUGGAGACAUCUUGAUGUUUACAGAAAAAGAAAAAGACAAGCGAAAUUUUUGGAAUUUUGUUAAGCGUUUUUCUUCUUUUUCUGUAUGCAAUUGUUGGAGACUUGGAAUCUGGAAGUUAAAUAAUGUAAGUUUGUGCAAAGACAAGUACUGCUGUUUGGUUUGUUUGGAUUCAUCAUUCAUGUAAUUAUUAUUCUCUUUUCUUU